UUGGAGGGCAAGUCUGGUGCCAGCAGCCGCGGUAAUUCCAGCUCCAAUAGCGUAUAUUAAAGUUGUUGCAGUUAAAAAGCUCGUAGUUGAAUUUCGGGGUUAGUAGGUUGGUCAUGCCUCUGGUAUGUACUGGUCUCACUGAUUCCUCCUUCCUGAUGAACCUUAAUGCCAUUUAUUUGGUGUUUUGGGGAAUUUGGACUGUUACUUUGAAAAAAUUAGAGUGUUCAAAGCAAGCUAACGCUUGAAUACAUUAGCAUGGAAUAAUGAAAUAGGACGUUCGAUCCUAUUUUGUUGGUUUCUAGGAUUGACGUAAUGAUUAAUAGGGAUAGUUGGGGGCAUUAGUAUUCAAUUGUCAGAGGUGAAAUUCUUGGAUUUAUUGAAGACUAACUACUGCGAAAGCAUUUGCCAAGGAUGUUUUCAUUAAUCAAGAACGAAAGUUAGGGGAUCGAAGACGAUCAGAUACCGUCGUAGUCUUAACCAUAAACUAUGCCGACUAGGGAUCGGAUGAUGUUAAUUUUUUAAUGACUCAUUCGGCGCCUUACGGGAAAC
rnacentral:rRNA from 1 species